GGAGGUCACAAUACCAAUAAUAAAUAUUUAGGAGGGGGAGGGGUGUGAUAAUAAAUUUUUAAACGAAUGAAAAUUUAUCGAUUAAUACUUACAUUUUUUUUUUUAACCAAUCCCAGAUCACAAGCAGCUAUUUGCUACUUGUUAAUGUGUAGCCGUGAAAUUAGUUUAAAAACAUAUUAUGUCCAUGUCAAAAAUAUAAUUUUACAACUUUUACUCCAAUAAAUGACUUUAAAACUAAAAAUAGAUUACGACUUACCUAUUGAUGUUCAAUUUACUCGAAUACGAGGCGGUGGAUAUUCAAAAUUAAAAAGUGCAUUCAUUUUCACAAAAUAUAGUCAAAUAAUAAAUUAAUAUUUUGCGUCAUUUUCCUGUAAACAAAUUCGUGUUAUAUGAAUUUCAUUGUAAACUGUUGCAUGAUCGUAACAAUAGUGUAUCUACCUACUCAUUUCGUGAUGAAACAUUUGUUGUGAACGUCAAAAACGUGCGCGCUCACAUCCACUAACGGAGGGGAGGGGAAUGAAAAUUGAAAAAAUGUGCUAAUAAGUUUUAAUAGAGCCGGGUAAAAUAAAAAUAUGAAAUUUAACACUACGCACGCAAAUUGGAUUUCAAAAAUAUUAAUUUUUUCCGACAUUUUAAUUUUUAUAUCAAACAUUUUAACACGAGUGGGGGGAGGGGGGGUGGCAGUCUCUCGAUUAGUCUGUGUCGGUGAUUUUCUCGGUCGGACUCUUUUCUAACGAAAAAAAAACAAAAACUAUAAAUUAAAUCGCACGUAAUACUUGGAGACGACGAGUUUAUUAUUCCUCCGACUCUGUUUUUCUCUCCGGAUAUUCGUCGCGACAAUCGUAUAAUCGGUAUACCUACGGCAAUGUAAAUUUACCACUAUAGACGCGACGAUUUUCAAAAAGAAAAAGAAGAAAAAAAAAAAAUUAAUACCGUGCCCGCAAACCGAACGCGCGUGUAUACAGAGGUAUAUAGAUACCCAAUACGUAUAGGUAUACCGCACCCAUGGCCUCCGUUGGUUUUUCACGUUGUUGUUGUUUUUUUUUUUAUUUCUAUUCGUGGGGGAAAAAAACCGAUACCAUAUACAUUUUUCAAUUACUUACCCGUUUCUCCAUCUCGCAUAAUAUUCGUAUACACAAUACGCGACGCAUUCGAGUUCUAUAUAUACGUAUGUGCGUGUGUGUAUAGACAGGUACCUACAACCUAUAACAUUAGCGAACGGGUUUUUUUUUUUUUUUUCCGCCAUCCAUUGAAAUCCUUUUCUCCUUCGCAGCGCGUGCAAGCAUAAAGAUUUCUUUCAACCGGGGCCUAUUUACUAUGUACGCGCAAACAAUUAUUGUUCGGAAUAAACGUUUAUGUUGAUUUAUAUAGGUGUGCGUUUCAAAAGACGAAAGACGUACCGACAUUAUACACGCGCCGAUCUAUUUGCUUUGAUGUAUAUUAUUACGGGUAGUAUACGUACACACUACGGCGGGUGUACAUCGCGGUUUUUUUUCCCC